GAGGGUGGGUCCAAGAAACAGCCUCGGCUUCUCGGGCUCGAUGUCGGUAGUAAGUACGUCGGGCUGGCAGUUUCUGAUCAGAAAAACAGGAUUGCCUUGCCUCUAAGGUAUGGGCUUCUAGCAAUUGGUGUUGAGGACGUGUUUCUUGAUGCAAAUGUAAGUGGUCAUGUAUGCUUUGUCUUGGGUAGGACAAAGACAAACAUUAAUUUGAUGGCAGACGAUUUCAAAACACUGGUUAAAAACUACUCCCUUGCCGGGCUUGUUGUGGGUUAUCCAUUCAACCUACAGGGUCAAUCUUCUCCAGAUGCAUCACAAGUAAGCCUUCUUGUAGGAGAACUUUGUAAAACUGGGAAACUUGAUGAUUUGAGCUACACAUAUUGGGAUGAAAAUUUUACCUCAAAGUGCGUAGAAGCCCUUUUAAAUCCUCUGAAACUAAAUGAUCCAGUUGAGACGAAAACAAUGACAGAUAAAUUUGCUGCAGUUUGCAUUCUCCAGGGUUAUUUAGAUAACAUGAACAGGGCAUUGAGACAUGCAGAUAAGUGUGAAGAGUAA
rnacentral:rRNA from 1 species